rnacentral:rRNA from 1 species
AGUGAACGCUGGCGGUAGGCCUAACACAUGCAAGUCGAACGGCAGCACAGUAAGAGCUUGCUCUUACGGGUGGCGAGUGGCGGACGAGUGAGGAAUACAUCGGAAUCUACUUUUUCGUGGGGGAUAACGUAGGGAAACUUACGCUAAUACCGCAUACGACCUACGGGUGAAAGCAGGGGAUCUUCGGACCUUGCGCGAUUGAAUGAGCCGAUGUCGGAUUAGCUAGUUGGCGGGGUAAAGGCCCACCAAGGCGACGAUCCGUAGCUGGUCUGAGAGGAUGAUCAGCCACACUGGAACUGAGACACGGUCCAGACUCCUACGGGAGGCAGCAGUGGGGAAUAUUGGACAAUGGGCGCAAGCCUGAUCCAGCCAUACCGCGUGGGUGAAGAAGGCCUUCGGGUUGUAAAGCCCUUUUGUUGGGAAAGAAAAGCAGCAGGUUAAUACCCCGCUGUUCUGACGGUACCCAAAGAAUAAGCACCGGCUAGCUUCGUG